UCUACCUACAAUACACACGUACUUAAUGAUUGGUAAUUCCUUACAAGUUAAUGAGUUUCAGACUUAAGUAUGAUGUUGUGUUUGCAUAUAGUUCGGUUCUCCGAACUGGAGUAACAAUUAAGUUACUCAUUUACUUCCUGUAUAUA
rnacentral:sRNA from 2 species